GAAAUGCGAUAAGUAAUGUGAAUUGCAGAAUUCCGUGAAUCAUCGAAUCUUUGAACGCACAUUGCGCCCUCUGGUAUUCCGGGGGGGCAUGCCUGUCCGAGCGUCAUUGCGAACCCCUCAAGCACGGCUUGUGUGAUGGGCCCUCCCGCGUCUUGGUCGUCAAGACGGGCCCGAAAUGCAGUGGCGGCUUCGCGGUUAUCCGAUCAGCCAGAGCGUAUGGGGACUCUCUCUCUUGUCACACGCCCGCGGCGCGGACCGACGCCUGUCGACCUUUAUUCAUCUUCUCUCGGUUGACCUCGGAUCAGGUAGGGAUACCCGCUGAACUUAAGC
rnacentral:misc_RNA from 1 species